rnacentral:rRNA from 1 species
UGAAUACGAGACGCUAAGGCGUCGAAGUAGUGUAUGUCAUACUUCCAAGAAAAGCUUGCACUGUCAUAGAUAAAAAACGCCUGUACCAUAACCGACACAGGUGGGUAGGUAGAGUAUACUAAGGGGCGCGAGAUAACUCUCUCUAAGGAACUCGGCAAAAUAACUCCGUAACUUCGGGAGAAGGAGUGCCUUAUUCGUAAGGUUGCAAUAACAAGAUCCAAGCAACUGUUUAUCAAAAACACAGGUCUCCGCUAAGUCGUAAGACGAUGUAUGGGGGCUGACGCCUGCCCAGUGCCAGAAGGUUAAAGAAGUUGGUUAGCAAUUGCGAAGCUGAUAACUGAAGCCCUGGUGAACGGCGGCCGUAACGAUAACGGUCCUAAGGUAGCGAAAUUCCUUGUCGGGUAAGUUCCGACCCGCACGAAAGGCGUAAUGAUUUGGAUACUGUCUCGGAGAGGGGCUCGGUGAAAUAGACUUGUCUGUGAAGAUGCGGACUACCUGCACCAGGACAGAAAGACCCUAUGAAGCUUUACUGUAACUUGAAAUUGAAAUUGGACUUUAUUCGCGCAGUAUAGGUGGGAGGCGUUGAUUAUAAUCUUGUGGGAUUAUUGGAGCCAUCAGUGAGAUACCACUCUUGUAAUGUUAGAUUUCUAACUUUGAAUCAUUAUCUGGUCAAAGAACAGUUUCAGGCGGGCAGUUUGACUGGGGCGGUCGCCUCCUAAACGGUAACGGAGGCGUACAAAGGUUUCCUCUGAACGGUUAGAAAUCGUAUCUAGAGUGUAAAGGCAUAAGGAAGCUUGACUGUGAGACCUACAAGUCGAGCAGGGACGAAAGUCGGUCUUAGUGAUCUGACGGUACUGAGUGGAAAGGCCGUCACUCAACGGAUAAAAGUUACUCUAGGAUAACAGGCUGAUCUCCCCCAAGAGUUCACAUCGACGGGGAGGUUUGGCACCUCGAUGUCGGCUCAUCGCAUCCUGGGGCGGUAGUACGUCCCAAGGGUUGGGCUGUUCGCCCAUGAAAGCGGUACGCGAGCUGGGUUCAGAACGUCGUGAGACAGUUCGGUCCAUAUCCGGUGUAGGCGUUAGAAUAUUGAGAGGAGCCUUCUUAUUACGAGAGGACCGAGAAGGACAUACCUCUGGUGUACCAGUUAUCGUGCCAACGGUAAACGCUGGGUAGCUAUGUAUGGAGUGGAUAACCGCUGAAAGCAUCUAAGUGGGAAGCCCACCUCAAGAUAAGUAUUCUCA